UGAGAUGUCAUAUGUUGCCUAGGCUGC
rnacentral:piRNA from 1 species